AACGAACGCUGGCGGCAGGCCUAACACAUGCAAGUCGAACGGGACCUUCGGGUCUAGUGGCGGACGGGCGAGUAACGCGUGGGAACGUGCCCUUUGGUUCGGAAUAGCCUCGGGAAACUGGGAGUAAUACCGGAUGCGGUCGGAAGACGAAAGAUUUAUCGCCAAUGGAUUAGCCCGCGUCCGAUUAGCUAGUUGGUGAGGUAACGGCUCACCAAGGCUCCGAUCGGUAGCUGUUCUGAGAGGAAGAUCAGCCACACUGGGACUGAGACACGGCCCAGACUCCUACGGGAGGCAGCAGUUGGGAAUCUUGGACAAUGGGGGGAAACCCUGAUCCAGCCAUGCCGCGUGAGUGAUGAAGGCCUUCGGGUUGUAAAACUCUUUCGACGGGGACGGAUAAUGACGGUACCCGUAGAAGAAGCUCCGGCUAACUUCGUGCCAGCAGCCGCG
rnacentral:rRNA from 1 species